rnacentral:tRNA from 1 species
CAAAAAAGCCGGAAUAGCUCAGUUGGUAGAGCAGAGGACUGAAAAUCCUCG